GACGAACGCUGGCGGCGUGCUUAACACAUGCAAGUCGAACGGAAAGGCCCUGCUUUUGUGGGGUGCUCGAGUGGCGAACGGGUGAGUAACACGUGAGUAACCUGCCCUUGACUUUGGGAUAACUUCAGGAAACUGGGGCUAAUACCGGAUAGGAGCUCCUGCUGCAUGGUGGGGGUUGGAAAGUUUCGGCGGUUGGGGAUGGACUCGCGGCUUAUCAGCUUGUUGGUGGGGUAGUGGCUUACCAAGGCUUUGACGGGUAGCCGGCCUGAGAGGGUGACCGGCCACGUUGGGACUGAGAUACGGCCCAGACUCCUACGGGAGGCAACGGUGGGGAAUAUUACACAAUGGGCGGAAGCCUGGUGCAGCAACGCCGCGUGCGGGAUGACAGCCUUCGGGUUGUAAGCCGCUUUCGCCUGUGACGAAGCGUGAGUGACGGUAAUGGGUAAAGAAGCACCGGCUAACUACGUG
rnacentral:rRNA from 1 species